rnacentral:rRNA from 1 species
CCAGACUCCUACGGGAGGCAGCAGUGGGGAAUAUUGCACAAUGGGGGGAACCCUGAUGCAGCGACGCCGCGUGGGUGAAGGAGCACCUCGGUGCGUAAAGCUCUAUCAGCAGGGAAGAAGAAAGACGGUACCUGACUAAGAAGCCCCGGCUAACUACGUGCCAGCAGCCGCGGUAAUACGUAGGGGGCAAGCGCUAUCCGGAUUUACUGGGUGUAAAGGGAGCGUAGACGGCAUAGCAAGUCUGAAGUGAAAGCCCGUGGCUCAACCGCGGAACUGCUUUGGAAACUGUUAAGCUGGAGUACUGGAGAGGCAAGCGGAAUUCCUAGUGUAGCGGUGAAAUGCGUAGAUAUUAGGAGGAACACCAGUGGCGAAGGCGGCCUACUGGACGGUGACUGACGCUGAGGCUCGAAAGCGUGGGGAGCAAGCAGGAUUAGAUACCCUAGUA